rnacentral:misc_RNA from 1 species
GAAUAUGCAAAUGUAUGACAAGCUCUACCAUUAUAGCCUUGUAAUCCAUAUUACAUUUGCUGUGGUUAAAUUAUUACUCAAUAGCACCAAAUUGAAAUCUUAAGGACUCAAAAGAAAUUGAUAUUUAAUCAGACGGGUUCUGAGCAAGAACUCAAAAACUUUAGGAAGUUUUUAUGGGGUUAUAUUUUAGGUACAUAUUUAAUGUUUUGAAUAUUUAUAUCAAUAAUUU